GAUGAACGCUGGCGGCGUGCUUAAUACAUGCAAGUCGAACGAACAGACGCGGAGCUUGCUCCUCUGACGUUAGCGGCGGACGGGUGAGUCACACGUGGAUCACCUACCUAUAAGACUGGGAUAACUUCGGGAAACCGGCGCUUAUCCCAGAUAAUCUCUUGAUCCGCAUGGUUCAAUAGUGAAAGUCGGUUUUGCUGUCACUUAUAGAUGGAUCUGCGCCGCAUUAGCUAGUUGGUAAGGUAACGGCUUUCCACGGCGACGAUGCGUAGCCGAGGUGAGAGAGUGGUCGGCCACCCGGGAGGUGAGACGGGGUCCAGACGCCUACGGGAGGCACCAGUAGGGUAUCUUCGGCAAUAGGCGAAAACAUGACGGAGCAGCGGCGAGUGAGUUAUGAAAGUCUUGGGAGCGGAAAACUCGGUUAUGAGGGAUGAACAAAUGUCGAAUGAACUGUGGACGGCGUGACGGUACCUAGUCAAAAAGCAACGGCUAACUACGUG
rnacentral:rRNA from 1 species